AUUGAACGCUGGCGGCAGGCUUAACACAUGCAAGUCGAGCGGAGAUGAGGUGCUUGCACCUUAUCUUAGCGGCGGACGGGUGAGUAAUGCUUAGGAACCUGCCUGGUAGUGGGGGACAACGUUUCGAAAGGAACGCUAAUACCGCAUACGUCCUACGGGAGAAAGCAGGGGACCUUCGGGCCUUGCGCUAUCAGAUGAGCCUAGGUCGGAUUAGUUAGUUGGUAGGGUAAUGGCUCACCAAGGCGACGAUUCGUAACUGGUCUGAGUGGGUGAUCAGUCACACUGGAACUGAGACACGGGCCAGACGCCUACGGGAGGCAGCAGUGGGGAAUAUUGGACAAUGGGCGAAAGCCUGAUCCAGCCAUGCCGCGUGUGUGAAGAAGGUCUUCGGAUUGUAAAGCACUUUAAGUUGGGAGGAAGGGCAGUAAGUUAAUACCUUGCUGUUUUGACGUUACCGACAGAAUAAGCACCGGCUAACUCUGUGCCAGCCGCCGCAGUAACAC
rnacentral:rRNA from 1 species